GUUAGUGCAAUUAUUGUCUAGGUGGAGAUGAUAGAUUCCUGGUGCUUUCUACUCCACUAUCUUCCUAGAAUCCUCUUGAAAUAUCUUUUUAAGAGAUAAAGGCCCUGCUGAGAUCUGGUUGUCCAGAUCUUGCUAACCAUUAACUGAAGCAGAUAAACACACUAUAGGGUUUUUUUCCCCCACUUUUUUUUAGGUUUCCUAAGAAUAGAUGGUGGUUUACAGCUAUGAAUAGAAGGAAAGUAUUUAGGCUGGCCACAGUGGCUCAUACCUGUAAUCCCAGCACUUUGGGAGGCUGAGGUGGGCAGAUCACUUGAACUCAGGAGUUCAAGACCAGCCUGGGCAACAUGGCGAAACCCUGUCUCUACAAAAAAUAGAUAAAUUAGCCAGAUGUUGUGGUGCACGCCUUUAGUCCCAGCUACUUGAGGGGCUGAGAUGGGAGGAUAGUUUGAGUCCGGGGGUUGAGGCUGCAGUGGGCCAUGAUCAUGCCACUGCACUCCAGCCUGGGCAACAGAGUGAGAUUCUCUCUUUUUCCAAGUGCAGAAUAUGUUGCUUCUAAAAUCAGAAUAGGCUUCCCAGUUUCUGGGUGGAAGGAGGUGUAAGGCACAAUAGCUUGUUCUUUACCAUGGAGGGGAUGGAUGUUCCAUUAUGUCCAGACUACUGUCUUCCUCAAAACUUCACGAAUGCAGCAAGUUCUUGACUAUUUUUAGGGUUAUAUUUCUCCCUGGCAUAUUUCUUGCCAGGGCAUCUAUGGUUCUUGUCACUUUUUGAUUAUCAGGUCUAAUUAACUUAC
rnacentral:lncRNA from 10 species